rnacentral:rRNA from 1 species
AUUGAACGCUGGCGGCAGGCCUAACACAUGCAAGUCGAACGAGUGGCGGACGGGUGAGUAAUGUCUGGGAAACUGCCCGAUGGAGGGGGAUAACUACUGGAAACGGUAGCUAAUACCGCAUACCAUCGGAUGUGCCCAGAUGGUAGUAGAUAGUAGGUGGGGUAAAGGCUCACCUAGGCCACGAUCCCUAGCUGGUCUGAGAGGAGGACCAGCCAAACUGGAACUGAGACACGGUCCAGACUCAUACGGAAGGCAGCAGUGGGGAAUAGUGCACAAUGGGCGCAAGCCUGAUGCAGCCAUGCCGCGUGUAUGAAGAAGGCCUUCGGGUUGUAAAGUACUUUCAGCGAGGAGGCGUUACUCGCAGAAGAAGCACCGGCUAACUCCGUGCCAGCAGCCGCGGUAAUAC